UACAGAGGGUGCAAACGUUGUUCGGAAUUACUGGGCGUAAAGCGCGUGUAGGCGGCAGCGCAAGUCGGAUGUGAAAUCCCCAGGCUCAACUUGGGAACUGCAUCCGAUACUGGAUGGCUUGAAUUCGGGAGAGGGAUGCAGAAUUCCAGGUGUAGCGGUGAAAUGCGUAGAUAUCUGGAGGAAUACCGGUGGCGAAGGCGGCAUCCUGGACCGACAUUGACGCUGAGGAGCGAAAGCUAGGGGAGCAAACGGG
rnacentral:rRNA from 1 species